UCCGGUGUGGCCCAAUGGUAAGGCGGCUCCCUGUUAAGGAGACGAUUGAUGGUUCGAGCCCAUCCACCGGAGCC
rnacentral:tRNA from 1 species